rnacentral:rRNA from 1 species
AUAAAAAACCAAUGCCCUCUGGGCUCCUUGGUGAUUCAUAAUAACUUAACGAAUCGCAUGGCCUUGCGCCGGCGAUGGUUCAUUCAAAUUUCUGCCCUAUCAAUUUUCGAUGGUAGAGUAGUGGUCUACCAUGAUCUUAACGGGUAACGGGGAAUUAGGGUUCUAUUCCGGAGAAGGAGCCUGAGAAACGGCUACUACAUCCAAGGAAGGCAGCAGGCGCGCAAAUUACCCAAUGCUAAUUCAGCGAGGUAGUGACAAUAAAUACUGAUACGGGGCUCUUUCGGGUCUCGUAAUUGGAAUGAGUACAAUCUAAAUCCCUUAACGAGGAACAAUUGGAGGGCAAGUCUGGUGCCAGCAGCCGCGGUAAUUCCAGCUCCAAUAGCGUAUAUUAAAGUUGUUGCCGUUAAAAAGCUCGUAGUUGAACCUUGGACCUGGCUGAUCUGUCCUCCUAAUCGAGCGCACGGAUUCGGUCGGGUCUUUCCUUCUGGGGAGCCCUAUGCCCUUCACUGGGUGUAG